UAAGGAAAACAUGCCUACAAUGUUAAUUCAAUGAAUCUCAUCAAAACUCUAUAGUUAAUAUCGCUUGGGAUAGAGUGGUACUAGGAUGGGUGACUUCCUAAGAAUUCCUGGUGUUUUACAUGC
rnacentral:rRNA from 1 species